UACGUAGGGGCUAGCGUUAUCCGGAAUUACUGGGCGUAAAGGGUGCGUAGGUGGUUUCUUAAGUCAGAGGUGAAAGGCUACGGCUCAACCGUAGUAAGCCUUUGAAACUGAGAAACUUGAGUGCAGGAGAGGAGAGUAGAAUUCCUAGUGUAGCGGUGAAAUGCGUAGAUAUUAGGAGGAAUACCAGUUGCGAAGGCGGCUCUCUGGUCUGUAACUGACGCUGAUGUGCGAAAGCGUGGGGAUCAAACAGGAUUAGAUACCCUGGUAGUCCCU
rnacentral:rRNA from 1 species